AUUGAACGCUGGCGGCAGGCCUAGCACAUGCAAGUCGAGCGGAUGAAGGGAGCUUGCUCCUGGAUUCAGCGGCGGACGGGUGAGUAAUGCCUAGGAAUCUGCCUGGUAGUGGGGGAUAACGUCCGGAAACGGGCGCUAAUACCGCAUACGUCCUGAGGGAGAAAGUGGGGGAUCUUCGGACCUCACGCUAUCAGAUGAGCCUAGGUCGGAUUAGCUAGUUGGUGGGGUAAAGGCCUACCAAGGCGACGAUCCGUAACUGGUCUGAGAGGAUGAUCAGUCACACUGGAACUGAGACACGGUCCAGACUCCUACGGGAGGCAGCAGUGGGGAAUAUUGGACAAUGGGCGAAAGCCUGAUCCAGCCAUGCCGCGUGUGUGAAGAAGGUCUUCGGAUUGUAAAGCACUUUAAGUUGGGAGGAAGGGCAGUAAGUUAAUACCUUGCUGUUUUGACGUUACCAACAGAAUAAGCACCGACUAACUUCGUG
rnacentral:rRNA from 1 species